GCGAGCGCAGGCGGUUCCUUAAGUCUGAUGUGAAAGCCCCCGGCUCAACCGGGGAGGGUCAUUGGAAACUGGGGAACUUGAGUGCAGAAGAGGAGAGUGGAAUUCCAUGUGUAGCGGUGAAAUGCGUAGAUAUAUGGAGGAACACCAGUGGCGAAGGCGACUCUCUGGUCUGUAACUGACGCUGAGGCUCGAAAGCGUGGGUAGCAAACAGGAUUAGAUACCCUGGUAGUCCACGCCGUAAACGAUGAGUGCUAAGUGUUGGAGGGUUUCCGCCCUUCAGUGCUGCAGUUAACGCAUUAAGCACUCCGCCUGGGGAGUACGACCGCAAGGUUGAAACUCAAAGGAAUUGACGGGGACCCGCACAAGCGGUGGAGCAUGUGGUUUAAUUCGAAGCGACGCGAAGAACCUUACCAGGUCUUGACAUCCCUCUGACCGCUCUAGAGAUAGAGUUUUCCUUCGGGGCAGAGGUGACAGGUGGUGCAUGGUUGUCGUCAGCUCGUGUCGUGAG
rnacentral:rRNA from 1 species